UCACAUGGUCACUUUGAAUUCUUACCAUUCCUUAUAUUUCCAAGAUCAAAUUUGUUUCUUAUUAUGCUAAUAUCCCUAUAAAUUCCCAGUCUCCAGGAGGUCUGAGUUGGUUCUAUUAUGACUUAUUCCACCUGCCAGGGGAGAAACUGUUCCUGAGAAAUGAAGGGACUUUCCCAGGGCUUCAGGGUUAGAGAGUGGCUGGUUUUAGACAAACCGGUGCUACCCAUACUGUUAACCCAACACAGGCAUGCUUAUAAGGAAAGGUUAAAAAAAGUAAAAGGAACUCGGCAAAUCUUACCCCGCCUGUUUACCAAAAACAUCACCUCUAGCAUUACCAGUAUUAGAGGCACCGCCUGCCCAGUGACAUAUGUUGAAUGGCCGCGGCUUUCUACGUCUCUAGGGGCUGUGGAGAAUACGUGAGAAGACCGCAUCCCCUGCUCACAUGCAGGGCAUACCCUACAGUGGAGCUGUAUGGGGCUGCCUGGAAGCCCCCUCACCCCAGGUAGAGAAGUAACUGACUCCAUGACUCCUCCAGUAGCAGCCUCCAAUGUGCAGGGAGGAGAGGCACUGAGCACCUGUGCCAUCCCUGGCCUCUCAUCCAGAACCCAGCCCCAGGGAUGGGAGUGCUCCAGGCAAUAAGUGGAGAAAAGCAGUUAAGUUAAACUCCCUGGGAGAGGCUGGGGCACCGUCUCAGCCAGCUGGGGCUCAUAUGAUGGAAUACAAUAGCUGACGUGGCUUAUAAACGGUAGAAAUUUAUUUCUCACAGUUCUGGAGGCUGAAAGCCCCAGGUCAGGGUGCCAGCACUGUGGGGUGACUGGUGGGGACCUGCUUCCAGCUGGGAGACGGUCACCUUCUUGUGAUGUCCUCACAUGAUGGAGGGGACAAGGGAGCGCUCUCGGGCCUUUUUUAUGAAGGUGCUGAGCCCAUUCAUGGUGGCUCUGCCCUCAUGACCUAAUUAGCUCCAAAGGUCUCACUUCCAAAUAUCAUCACCUUGG
rnacentral:lncRNA from 1 species